rnacentral:rRNA from 1 species
CCUACGGGAGGCAGCAGUCGAGAAUCAUUCACAAUGGGGGAAACCCUGAUGGUGCGACGCCGCGUGGGGGAAUGAAGGUCUUCGGAUUGUAAACCCCUGUCAUGUGGGAGCAAAUUAAAAAGAUAGUACCACAAGAGGAAGAGACGGCUAACUCUGUGCCAGCAGCCGCGGUAAUACAGAGGUUUCAAGCGUUGUUCGGAAUCACUGGGCGUAAAGCGUGCGUAGGCUGUUUCGUAAGUCGUGUGUGAAAGGCGCGGGCUCAACCCGCGGACGGCACAUGAUACUGCGAGACUAGAGUAAGGGAGGGGGAACCGGAAUUCUCGGUGUAGCAGUGAAAUGCGUAGAUAUCGAGAGGAACACUCGUGGCGAAGGCGGGUUCCUGGACAUUAACUGACGCUGAGGCACGAAGGCCAGGGGAGCGAAAGGGAUUAGAUACCCGGGUAGUC